GGACUUGAAGGUCCGUUUGGCCCUAAAGGACCUUGGGGACCUCAGGAACAACAAGGUGAGCCUGGUCCAAAAGGGGAUUGUAGAAUUUCAGUAACCAGACUGCCAGAAAGUAAAGAGUUGUCAAAUUAAGUUUCUGGUUUGCAGCCUUGGAAGCUGAUUGCCAAGAUCAUGAGUUCAUCUGGACUGAGCAGAGAGUGGAGGAAACUCAAG